GUCCUCGAGUUGCCUGAACUUCCUGCUAUCAACCAAGCAAACAUGAAUUUGUCAGUAUCUUCACAUUAGAAUUCUUACAAUUCCACAAUAUCACAAGAAUAUUUGAACAUUUUGAACAGAAAGUAGUUUUGCAUUUCAAAUUGAAUACAAUAUAGAUGUUCUAGCAGAAAAAGGUCUUUUCCCAGCUCACCAAAAAAAAAACAAGUAUUUUUCUAAUUCAAGAGUUAAUAUCAUCAUUAUUUUGGGAUGUUGCACAGAUACCUCUAAAGGCAUUGGACCCCUCAUGCAGACAACAUCCAACAUAGCAGCAGGAAAUUUCACCCUUUGUAUUAAUAUUCAUGAAUUAAAAAAGGUUUAAUGAUAAAAUAAUCCAAAACAUUGAUCAAUUUCUACUAUAACUAACACUUUAAUUUCAGACGUGCUUAGAUGUAGACUCCAAAAAAAAAGAAGAGCAUAAUUUAAAAAUCAGUACUUAUUUAUUUAGAAACAAAAACUUAGGAAAGAAAAAAAAUAGUAAAUCUUUUUCAUCAUGUUCUCCCAUUAUUCUUUCCCUUCCCUUCCCCCAAAUAAGCCUAGAGAUGUGCUUAUGUGAAAUUUUUGAAUUAAAUGAAUGCCACACCAGUAAUUUGAAAAUGUUGGCACAAAGUCUUACAAGUUUGACUAUAACUGAUACCAAAAUUACACGUUAUGCAUAUAAUUGACCAAAUUUAAGCAUUAGCCAUAAUAGAAAAUUGAGUAUAGGAAAAUCUGCUAGUCAUUGGCCACUUACAUAAUCAGCAUUCACCUAAAAUAUGGAUACUUAUUUUUAUAACAUAAACUAUUAUGUUAGGAUCUGAACCCUAAGUGGCAGCUACAAAAGAAACAGACUUGAGAUAGAAAAGAUAAUUAGAAAAUAGACUCGAGAAUAGGAGAGAGAGAGAGAGAUUGAGAAGAAGGAACUGAAUUCUUGACAUUAAUUGAAUGAAUGAUCUCUAUCUGCUGUACAACUGUAUUUAUACCAAUUCUACUAAUCUGUUAUCUUCUAACACGCACUACUAUUCUGUUGUCUUCUAACAUACACUUCCCGCUUAUCUUCCCUCCAAAACCAACUAACUCAA
rnacentral:misc_RNA from 1 species